rnacentral:rRNA from 1 species
AUUGAACGCUGGCGGCAGGCCUAACACAUGCAAGUCGAGCGGGGUUUUCGAACCUAGCGGCAGACGGGUGAGUAAUGCGUAGGAAGCUACCCGAUAGAGGGGGAUACCAGUUGGAAACGACUGUUAAUACCGCAUAAUGUCUACGGACCAAAGUGUGGGACCUUCGGGCCACAUGCUAUCGGAUGCGCCUACGUGGGAUUAGCUAGUUGGUGAGGUAAUGGCUCACCAAGGCGACGAUCCCUAGCUGGUUUGAGAGGAUGAUCAGCCACACUGGAACUGAGACACGGUCCAGACUCCUACGGGAGGCAGCAGUGGGGAAUAUUGGACAAUGGGCGCGAGCCUGAUCCAACCAUGCCGCGUGUGUGAAGAAGGCCUUCGGGUUGUAAAGCACUUUCAGUAGGGAGGAAGCGUUGUGUGUUAAUAGUACACAGCGUUGACGUUACCUACAGAAGAAGCACCGGCUAACUCUGUGCCAGCAGCCGCGGUAAGAC